UACGGGGGGGGGCAAGCGUUGUUCGGAAUUACUGGGCGUAAAGGGCUCGUAGGCGGCCAACUAAGUCAGACGUGAAAUCCCCAGGCUCAACCUGGGAACUGCGUCUGAUACUGGAUGGCUUGAAUCCGGGAGAGGGAUGCAGAAUUCCAGGUGUAGCGGUGAAAUGCGUAGAUAUCUGGAGGAAUACCGGUGGCGAAGGCGGCAGUCCUGGACCGGCAUUGACGCUGAGGAGCGAAGCCAGGAGCAAAGCGGG
rnacentral:rRNA from 1 species